rnacentral:rRNA from 1 species
GACGAACGCUGGCGGCGUGCCUAAUACAUGCAAGUAGAACGCACAGUUUAUACCGUAGCUUGCUACACCAUAGACUGUGAGUUGCGAACGGGUGAGUAACGCGUAGGUAACCUGCCUGGUAGCGGGGGAUAACUAUUGGAAACGAUAGCUAAUACCGCAUAAUAUUAAUUAUUGCAUGAUAAUUAAUUGAAAGGUGCAAUUGCACCACUACCAGAUGGACCUGCGUUGUAUUAGCUAGUAGGUGAGGUAACGGCUCACCUAGGCGACGAUACAUAGCCGACCUGAGAGGGUGAUCGGCCACACUGGGACUGGGACACGGCCCAGACUCCUACGGGAGGCAGCAGUAGGGAAUCUUCGGCAAUGGACGAAAGGCUGAACGAGCAACGCCGCGUGAGUGAAGAAGGUUUUCGGAUCGUAAAGCUCGGUUGUAAGAGAAGAACGGGUGUGAGAGUGGAAAGUUCACACUGUGACGGUAUCUUACCAGAAAGGGACGGCUAACUACGUG